UACGUAGGGUGCGAGCGUUAAUCGGAAUUACUGGGCGUAAAGGGUGCGCAGGCGGCUCCGCAUGUCGGGCGUGAAAUCCCCGGGCUUAACCUGGGAAUUGCGUCCGAAACUAUGGAGCUGGAGUGUGGCAGGGGGAGGUGGAAUUCCACGUGUAGCGGUGAAAUGCGUAGAGAUGUGGAGGAACACCGAUGGCGAAGGCAGCCUCCUGGGCCAACACUGACGCUCAUGCACGAAAGCGUGGGGAGCAAACAGG
rnacentral:rRNA from 1 species